UUGAUCAUGGCUCAGGACGAACGCUGGCGGCGUGCCUAAUACAUGCAAGUCGAACGAACUCUGGUAUUGAUUGGUGCUUGCAUCAUGAUUUACAUUUGAGUGAGUGGCGAACUGGUGAGUAACACGUGGGAAACCUGCCCAGAAGCGGGGGAUAACACCUGGAAACAGAUGCUAAUACCGCAUAACAACUUGGACCGCAUGGUCCGAGCUUGAAAGAUGGCUUCGGCUAUCACUUUUGGAUGGUCCCGCGGCGUAUUAGCUAGAUGGUGGGGUAACGGCUCACCAUGGCAAUGAUACGUAGCCGACCUGAGAGGGUAAUCGGCCACAUUGGGACUGAGACACGGCCCAAACUCCUACGGGAGGCAGCAGUAGGGAAUCUUCCACAAUGGACGAAAGUCUGAUGGAGCAACGCCGCGUGAGUGAAGAAGGGUUUCGGCUCGUAAAACUCUGUUGUUAAAGAAGAACAUAUCUGAGAGUAACUGUUCAGGUAUUGACGGUAUUUAACCAGAAAGCCACGGCUAACUACGUGCCAGCAGCCGCGGUAAUACGUAGGUGGCAAGCGUUGUCCGGAUUUAUUGGGCGUAAAGCGAGCGCAGGCGGUUUUUUAAGUCUGAUGUGAAAGCCUUCGGCUCAACCGAAGAAGUGCAUCGGAAACUGGGAAACUUGAGUGCAGAAGAGGACAGUGGAACUCCAUGUGUAGCGGUGAAAUGCGUAGAUAUAUGGAAGAACACCAGUGGCGAAGGCGGCUGUCUGGUCUGUAACUGACGCUGAGGCUCGAAAGUAUGGGUAGCAAACAGGAUUAGAUACCCUGGUAGUCCAUACCGUAAACGAUGAAUGCUAAGUGUUGGAGGGUUUCCGCCCUUCAGUGCUGCAGCUAACGCAUUAAGCAUUCCGCCUGGGGAGUACGGCCGCAAGGCUGAAACUCAAAGGAAUUGACGGGGGCCCGCACAAGCGGUGGAGCAUGUGGUUUAAUUCGAAGCUACGCGAAGAACCUUACCAGGUCUUGACAUACUAUGCAAAUCUAAGAGAUUAGACGUUCCCUUCGGGGACAUGGAUACAGGUGGUGCAUGGUUGUCGUCAGCUCGUGUCGUGAGAUGUUGGGUUAAGUCCCGCAACGAGCGCAACCCUUAUUAUCAGUUGCCAGCAUUAAGUUGGGCACUCUGGUGAGACUGCCGGUGACAAACCGGAGGAAGGUGGGGAUGACGUCAAAUCAUCAUGCCCCUUAUGACCUGGGCUACACACGUGCUACAAUGGAUGGUACAACGAGUUGCGAACUCGCGAGAGUAAGCUAAUCUCUUAAAGCCAUUCUCAGUUCGGAUUGUAGGCUGCAACUCGCCUACAUGAAGUCGGAAUCGCUAGUAAUCGCGGAUCAGCAUGCCGCGGUGAAUACGUUCCCGGGCCUUGUACACACCGCCCGUCACACCAUGAGAGUUUGUAACACCCAAAGUCGGUGGGGUAACCUUUUAGGACCAGCCGCCUAAGUGG
rnacentral:rRNA from 1 species